rnacentral:rRNA from 1 species
UGGCUCAGGACGAACGCUGGCGGCGUGCCUAAUACAUGCAGGUCGAGCGAGCAAACUAACAGAUUUACUUCGGUAAUGACGUUAGGAAAGCGAGCGGCGGAUGGGUGAGUAACACGUGGGGAACCUGCCUCAUAGUCUGGGAUACCACUUGGAAACAGGUGCUAAUACCGGAUAAGAAAGCAGAUCGCAUGAUCAGCUUUUAAAAGGCGGCGUAAGCUGUCGCUAUGUGAUGGCCCCGCGGUGCAUUAGCUAGUUGGUAAGAUAAAGGCUUACCAAGGCGAUGAUGCAUAGCCGAGUCGAGAGACUGAUCGGCCACAUUGGGACUGAGACACGGCCCAAACUCCUACGGGAGGCAGCAGUAGGAAUCUUCCACAAUGGACGCAAGUCUGAUGGAGCAACGCCGCGUGAGUGAAGAAGGUUUUCGGAUCGUAAAGCUCUGUUGUUGGUGAAGAAGGAUAGAAGUAGUAACUGGCCUUUAUUUGACGGUAAUCAACCAGAAAGUCACGGCUAACUACGUGCCAGCAGCCGCGGUAAUACGUAGGUGGCAAGCGUUGUCCGGAUUUAUUGGGCGUAAAGCGAGCGCAGGCGGAAGAAUAAGUCUGAUGUGAAAGCCCUCGGCUUAACCGAGGAACUGCAUCGGAAACUGUUUUUCUUGAGUGCAGAAGAGGAGAGUGGAACUCCAUGUGUAGCGGUGAAAUGCGUAGAUAUAUGGAAGAACACCAGUGGCGAAGGCGGCUCUCUGGUCUGCAACUGACGCUGAGGCUCGAAAGCAUGGGUAGUGAACAGGAUUAGAUACCCUGGUAGUCCAUGCCGUAAACGAUGAGUGCUAAGUGUUGGGAGGUUUCCGCCUCUCAGUGCUGCAGCUAACGCAUUAAGCACUCCGCCUGGGGAGUACGACCGCAAGGUG